GAGUUUGAUCCUGGCUCAGAACGAACGCUGGCGGCACGCUUAACACAUGCAAGUCGAACGGAAUUAUGGGGUUCGCUCCAUAAUUUAGUGGCGCACGGGUGAGUAACGCGUAACUACCUGCCUACUGAUGGUGGAUAACUCUGGGAAACUAGGGCUAAUACAGCAUGAGCUCGAGAGAGGAAAGGCCUUCGGGUCGUCAGUAGAGGGGGGUGCGUCUGAUUAGGUUGUUGGUGAGGUAACGGCUCACCAAGCCGAUGAUCAGUAGCUGGUCUGAGAGGAUGGUCAGCCACACUGGAACUGAGAUACGGUCCAGACUCCUACGGGAGGCAGCAGUGGGGAAUAUUGGACAAUGGGCGAAAGCCUGAUCCAGCGAUGCCGCGUGAGUGAUGAAGGCCUUAGGGUUGUAAAGCUCUUUUGACAGGGACGAUGAUGACGGUACCUGUAGAAUAAGCACCGGCUAACUCUGUGCCAGCAGCCGCGGUAAUACAGAGGGUGCUAGCGUUGUUCGGAAUUACUGGGCGUAAAGGGCGUGUAGGCGGCUACGUAAGUCAGAUGUUAAAGACCUGGGCUUAACCUGGGGGGUGCGUUUGAUACUGCGUGGCUAGAGUGCAGGAGAGGAGAGUGGAAUUCCAGGUGUAGAGGUGAAAUUCGUAGAUAUCUGGAGGAACACCAGCGGCGAAGGCGGCUCUCUGGACUGUUACUGACGCUGAGGCGCGAAAGCGUGGGGAGCAAACAGGAUUAGAUACCCUGGUAGUCCACGCCUUAAACGAUGGAAGCUAGAUGUCGGGACUAUAAGUUUCGGUGUCGCCGCUAACGCAUUAAGCUUCCCGCCUGAGGAGUACGGUCGCAAGAUUAAAACUCAAAGGAAUUGACGGGGACCCGCACAAGCGGUGGAGCAUGUGGUUUAAUUCGAAGCAACGCGAAAAACCUUACCCGCUUUUGACAUAGGGAUCGAGAGUCUAAGAGAUUAGAUUCGUCGGUUCGGCCGGAUCCUAUACAGGUGCUGCAUGGCUGUCGUCAGCUCGUGUCGUGAGAUGUUGGGUUAAGUCCCGCAACGAGCGCAACCCUUAUUCGUAGUUGCCAUCACGUUAUGGUGGGCACUUUACGAAAACCGCCGCUGAUAAAGUGGAGGAAGGUAAGGAUGACGUCAAGUCCUCAUGGCCCUUAUGGGCGGGGCUACACACGUGCUACAAUGGUGGUGACAGAGAGAAGCAAGCAGGUGACUGUGAGCAAACCUCAAAAAACCAUCUCAGUUCAGAUUGCACUCUGCAACUCGAGUGCAUGAAGUUGGAAUCGCUAGUAAUCGCGAAUCAGCAUGUCGCGGUGAAUACGUUCUCGGGUCUUGUACACACCGCCCGUCACACCAUGGGAGUUGAUUUUACCUUAAGUCGGUGAGCUAACCAGCAAUGGAGGCAGCCGAUCACGGUGAGGUCGAUGACUGGGGUGAAGUCGUAACAAGGUAACCGUA
rnacentral:rRNA from 1 species